rnacentral:rRNA from 1 species
GACGAACUGUCCUAACGUUGUUCGGAAUCACUGGGCUUAAAGGGCGCGUAGGCGGUCCGACAAGUCAGGGGUGAAAUCCUGCAGCUUAACUGCAGAAGUGCCUUUGAUACUGCGGAGCUUGAGUACAGAUGAGGUAGGCGGAAUUGACGGUGUAGCGGUGAAAUGCUUAGAUAUCGUCAAGAACACCUAUAGCGAAGGCAGCUUACUAGGCUGUAACUGACGCUGAGGCACGAAAGUGUGGGGAUCAAACAGG